GAUGGAGCAAAGUGAUUGGAGUGAGGAGUGUGCGGCUGGCCACGGGCGCAGCGAGACCCGUAUAAGGAUGGAGGAACACAGAUCGGCCGUUUAAACCCUCGCAAACCCUGCUACGUAUCUAGUUAUUUAAGUUCGCCGCGGAUAAAAGGAGAGAGCGUGUAAUUUAUGGCCAGCGUGGAUACACCGUCCAAGGGGGUGAGAAACCGAGGGAAGAGAAGACGGAAUAAAAAUGAGACGAUGCUCGGCGACGGAAGAAGAAGAAGAAAAGUGGUGGCAGUGACGGUCGUGGGGAGUAGUGGGGAGAAUGGAAUGGAGUGGGGAUACGGAAGUAGCCGAAGUCGAUCGGUAGCUACUGUGAUUUGGAUGCGUUUUUCUUCUUCUCGCGUCGAAAGUAUUCGUUUGUAUCAAGAACAGUCCCGUUCCAUUUGCGGAAUUAAUCAAUUCUGACGUUAAAUAAUAUCGUAGCAUUGAAUUACCGUCUUUUUUUAACAAAUUAAUGAUAAUUAUCGGUUCCUAUUUUUCAGAUCGAAGUGACAACGAUUAGAAAUUGGAUUUGUCAUAUGAAGCGAUUACGAUUUUAAUGAUAGAAAGUUUCGCGUAUUCGUCCAUGAUAAAUACUGUAUUUUUAUCUUUCCAUUUUAUUUGGAAUCGUAUAUUUUUGGUCAGAAGUAAGCAAAUUCAACGGAAGCAAGAAACAAAAGCGUUAAUUUCUAACAGGUUCAAUUUUGCCGGUCAGUUUCGAGUCAUUGUAGCGAGAAAUAUCGGAUCCAUGGAGAGCUGAGGUUAGCACGCGUCCAAACAACGUAAUUAAAAGUUUCGUGUGCCACUAGCCUCGAUAAACUCUCGUCGGUCCCAAGUCAAUAGACGAGAGCCCGGGUUGGUUAAUUACUCGCCGAAAUGUGCGUUCUUACAGAAAUAAUUAGCCGCAGCGUGUGCGCGUGCAAACAAUCAAGGGAACGAGGAAAACAUCAGCGGUGAACUUGCGGCCAUUGCUACGUCGUAAUAACUCGUCAAAAAACUCAACCAACCGGAUAUAAUGCGUGAUGACCAUUCGGCGGCUCGUUUCUUCCACAAUUCUCUUCAGCGUUAUUGCAAAUUGAACAAAUUUCUCUAAGAGAGAGAGAGAAUAAAAGAGAAAACGAAAAGAAAAAUUGAUACAGUCAGUGCGAAUAGAGGAAGCAGCAGCAAGAGACUAUUGACGAGGCACACUUGUUGAACGCGUGGUUUAUCUUCGACCAUAGAUCACUCAGGCUCCACCAUUUCUCCUCUUAUACGUAUGCGCUCUCCUUUUCUUAGUCAUUUCCUUUUCCGCUAACUUGCCGUAUAACUUGCUCAGGCACGUCUUUGAAGGAUGCUCGUGCCAAUAUCCACUAUUUAUGACAAAAGACACGCAAUUCGUGGAUAUUUCUCAAAUGGAAUUUAUUCUAUUAUUUCUUUUAUCUACUUUCAGUUGUUAUCUACAAUUGCUUAUGAAAUUAUUCAUAUUCCUUUAGCUUUCGUAUGAGUUUCGUGUUUGUUGCUUGAUAUAUCUUGAUUUUUGCAUGAAUUUUAAUUAAAUGGAAAAUAAUAAUUUAAUACGAGAAAAUAUUGCGAUUCUAAGAUUGCCAGUUGCGAUGAUAUAAAUAUUCGCAAAGAUUGUUAAAAAAAUAACAAUUCCAAGAUCAUUACAUCGCAAUUACAACAAUUAUUAUUUCGUAUAAUUACGUUUAAUAUCAGAAAAGGGGGCAACUAAACUACCAAAGAUAUCGCAUGGAUUACUUUCCAAAGAGAGAAUUAUCAUUCGGCAUAAGAGAGGUGCAAUUCGAUCCAAUAAAAAGUAAACUCACAGAUUGUAUCAGUGAUUUCUAGAAUUGUAUCCAGCUCUAGAUAUGAUUAGAAAAUAACGGCAUAACUAUAAUUAUUGAAAAAAAAAUGGCAAUUCAACAAAACGAAAAUUAUUCCAAUCGUAAAUUCCUGAAAGGGAUAAAAUACAAUGCAAUAAAACAAGAUUAUUAUUGCAAUUGUAAGAAUUGCUCUUUAAAAUGAAACUAAGAAAUAGCGAUUGGUGAGAAAUUACAAAAGUGAUCGGGUAGCAUUUUUCCGGAAUUUUUCACGUUGGCGAACGAGUAUCACGAUGUCGUUAAGAGAAUGGAUCCUAUGAAGGAAUCGGCGGCGUGCCAAAGGAAAUUACGAAUUACUAAAACGAUGUAUGGCAUCGUGUGUGACGACAACGUGCCAUUGCACACCUAACGGAUUGAUGCGAAACAAGUUUCUUAGUGUCUCCCCAUUGAGAUCUGACAUUUAACAUUCUCGUCAUAAUUGUCGUGAUGGCCGUAGAUCGUCAAUUUUCCAUUAAAAAAAAAUUUCUCUUAGAAAUUUUCUCAUAAUAUGAUUAAUUUUCAUUUUCUCGAUCUUUACGCAACAACCUUAAAUCCUCGUUAAUUUAAUAAGGUAAUACAUAGCAUUUUAAAAUUAAAUUUUUUAACAGAGCACCGUGAAAUAUUAUUAUAUUGAAGCAUUAAAAUUUAAGUGUAACAUCUGAUUCUUGUAUCACUUUUUUUUAACCAAAACAAUUCAAAGAAUAAAUUUAUCGAUUCAAAGAACUUAUUGAUUUAAAAUUCGUUUGAAGAUUAUCUUCUUUUCAGAAAAAUAAAAACGAAUGCUAUAGACGAUCAACUACGAAUAUAUUUCUUAUUUUUAUUUUAAAAAAGCAAAUCUUCAAGCAAACCAAAAAAAAAUUUCCUUCUCAAUAAAACCGAAAUACGAAUUUUAUAUAGACGAUUUAUCUAUCUGAUUGCAAUUAAAAUUAAAUCUGACUAACCCAGAUAUAUCUACGUGCACAAAACUAUAUAUUGGAGAAAAAAAGGAGGAAAAGAAAAAAAGGAACAGAAUAAUGGUUUACACGUAAUGAGAGUAGCGAGUUUGGAAGAAAAGCAACGAUGAUUUCGGGGAAAAGUAAGAGAAGGAAAGAGAAAGGAUUCGAACAAAAACCAGAAAUAAAGAAACGUAUCGUACUGAUAUUCUGCCGAGGAAGACAGAAACGGAGACAGAGACGGAGAGAGAGAGAGUCGUAACCUUCCCUGAGAGCUAGCCUCUUCGUUAUGACAAUAUAUCUGGGACCCGAAGGAAACAUUGGCCGAGAAAUCCUGAAGGUAUGCUCCGAAAGCUUGCGCCACGGCGGUCUCCUUUGUCGGAGAUUCUUCGAGCGAGAGGAAGAAGCCGUGCGUAGAAGAGGGCACAGCCUAACCCCCUCUCCACGUCGUUGGGCCGCGAAAAACGAGAAGUUUGGAAUCACCGAUUGCAUUCAAACAAGGAAGGAUAAUAAGACAAUUCCAUUCAGGCAAAGAUAUUAAAACCAAUCUACUCUCAAUAACAAAUUAAACAAAUUGCAUACUAUUAUGUUUUUAGAAUUUUUAACUCUUUCUGAAUAAAUACUAUAACAACAUCAAAGUUACAAUUAAAUGAAAUUGAAUUAAGUUAAAUUAAACUUUAAUAUACAUAAUAUUCAAUUAUUAGUAAUAAAAUUU